rnacentral:misc_RNA from 1 species
UAAAUCCAAGAACAAGCAUGC